rnacentral:rRNA from 1 species
UGGAACGAGCGGCGGACGGGUGAGUAACACGUGGGCAACCUGCCUGUAAGAUCGGGAUAACUCCGGGAAACCGGGGCUAAUACCGGGUAAUACUUUCUUUCGCAUGAAGGAAAGUUGAAAGAUGGCUUCUCGCUAUCACUUACAGAUGGGCCCGCGGCGCAUUAGCUAGUUGGUGAGGUAACGGCUCACCAAGGCGACGAUGCGUAGCCGACCUGAGAGGGUGAUCGGCCACACUGGGACUGAGACACGGCCCAGACUCCUACGGGAGGCAGCAGUAGGGAAUCUUCCGCAAUGGACGAAAGUCUGACGGAGCAACGCCGCGUGAAC